ACAACACGACAGUCAACAAACAAACCCCUUGCAGAUGGUUUAACUGCUGCAACAGAAAAAUGGCAAAUCAACCUAUAGUUUCUCACUUGGGCUUUGAAGCUAAAUGUUCCUCACUUCAACUCUGACCUUAACACUAAUUUCUAAGAAUCAUAAACCAUUAGCUUGUUGAUCUAAGACAAACAAGCAAAUAAAACCCAACUAGUAUCAGAAGCAAUGCCUGGGGAAUCCCGUUCUAGACGUAAUUUCUAGAAAGCGUGUCCAACUGUGAAACUACCAGCCAGGGGAGGGGAGAUGAAAUGGGACGGCGCUCAGAGAGAAGCAAUUCCACCUGGGGACGGGAGAUGAAAAAUCUCCAGGGAGGGAUCGGUGUGCCUCCUCUCCCGCUGGAUGCCCAACGUCUACGACCGCACAGAGCACGCAGAAAUGUGCUCAAGUCACACCAGGUCAAAGAGUAAGUGAAUACAGGAGAAGAAGCCAACAGAAGAUAGGUCUGUGUAUGUGGGUGAAUGAUCCAUGCUUCAACAGCUUGAACUCUUCAGCCUUGCUUGAAGGGGGAGGCCACAUGGAUCACAAGCUCUGAAUAUUGUAAGAUACCUUUGUGCAAAAGGAAUCACACCAUCACUGACAGUUAUCCCCAACUUUGUUCUCCAGCAUAGCAAAACUAAGUCGAAUUGCAUAAAACUGUGCUUCAAUUGAUGUAGAAAACUUUGCUGAACCACAUAUAACCAUGGAGUUUCAGUUUCAGUUGUUAUGCCUUACAAGAGGAGUUAUUUUGCAGUGACAAAGCUUCACUUCUGAUGUCCUGACACAUCGUAGGACUUUGAGAAACAGACUCCUAAGACAUACUCAAGAAGGAAGAGAAGGGGCCAGCACUGUGAUGUAGUGGGUAAAGCCGCUGCCUGCAGUGCCAGCAUCCCAUAUGGGCACCGAGUCCCAGCUGCUCCACUUCUGAUCCAGCUCUCUGCUGUGGCCUGGGAAAGCAGUAGAAGAUGGCCCAAGUCUCUGGGCCCCUGCACCCACAUGGGAGACCCAGAAGAGGCUCCUGUCUUCAGAUUGGCGCAGCUCCAGCCAUUACGCCCAUGUGGGGAGUGACCAGCGGAUGGAAGACCUGUCUCUCUCUCUCUUUCUCUGCGCCUCUUCCUCUGCCUCUCUGUAACUCUGCCUUUUAAAUAAAUAAAUAAAUCUUAAAAAAAAAAAAGAAGAAAGAGAAAAUCUGAAUAGAACUAUAACAAGUAAGGAGAUUCAGUUAGCAACCAGACACCUCCAAAUAAAGCCCAGGACCAGAUAACUGCACUGUUGAAUUUUCCCAGACAUUUAAAAAACCUUAACACUAAUCCUUCUCAAACUCUUCCUGUAAAUAGAAAAAAAGGAUGGAAUACUUUCUAACUCAUCUGUGAUAAUAAAACCAAAGACAUGAAAAUUUUUCACAAGUAUCCCUUAUGACUAUAGAUAUAAAAAUACUCAUCAAAGGACUACUAAAUCAAAUUCAGAGUGUAUUAAAAGUAUUAUAUAUCAUGAUCAGUGGGAUUUAUCCUAGAAUUUCCAAGAGUGGCUCAACAUGAAAUUCAGUACACUACACUAUGUUGAUGGAAUGAAGGAGAGAAAAACACAGGAUCAUCUCUAUCAAUGUAUAAAAACAACAAAAAGACUUUUUAAAUUGGCAGAGUAUUUAACUAGACAUUUCUCUGAAAAGAUGAAAAUGACCAAGAAACAUAUGAAGACAUGUUAAUUAGAACCACAGUGAGAUACUACUUCAUACUUACUAGGUUGGCUAUCAUAAAAAAGAAGAAAAUAACUAGUGUUAAAAAAAUGUGAAGAAAUCAGGGCCCUAGUACAUUGCUGGUAUGAAUGUAAAAUGGUGCAAUCACUGAGGAAAAUAGUAUGACAAUUCUUCAAAAAGUUAAAGUUAGAAUUACCUUAUGACCAAGCAGUUCCAUCACUAGAUGUGUAUCCCAAAGAAUUGAAAAUGAUACCUUAAACAUGUACACAUCAGUGUUUAUCGCAAUCUUUUUCACAAUAGCCAAAAUGUAGAAAAACCCAUGUAUCCAUUAAAAGGUAAAUGGAUAAACAAAAUGUGGUAUUUACAUGCAGAGGACUAUUAAAGCCAUACAAAAGAAUGAAGUACUCAUACAUGUUACAUCAUGGAUGGAUGUUGAAGAUAGUAUGCUAAAGGAGUAAGCCAGACACAAAAGGAGAAAUACUAUAUGAUACUAUACAUGAGAUAUUUAGAAUAGCCAAAUUCAUAGAGAUAACAAGUAGGGAUUAUUGGGCUGGGAGAGAGGAAAUGGGAGUUACUCCUUAGUACAGAGUUUGUAGUAUGGAAGUGUUUUGGAAAUAGUGAUGAUGAUUUUACAUCAUCGUGAAUACAAUUAGUGCCAUGUUAUAUUUAGAAAUUUGCAAAUUGUUUAUUAUACAGAUUGAGUAUCCAAAAUGGGACCAGAAGUGCUUCAGAUUCUAGACUUUUAGGGAUUUGGGAAUUUGCAUGUGAAUGAGAUAUGUUAAGGAUAAGACCCAAGUCCAAACAUGAAAUCCAAUUAUGUCUCAUAUACACCUUAUACAGAAAGUAAUUUUAUACAGUGAAUUUGUUACAAUUGUGUUUUUGACUGCAACCCAUCACAUGAGGUCAGGUGUGAAAUUUUCCACUUGGAAUUUCCCAUGCCACAAAUGUCAUCAUGUUGGUGCUCAGACAGUUUCAAACUUCGGAGCAUUUUGGAAUUAGAUUUUUUAAUUCUAGAUGUUCAACCUGUAUAUAUUUUAUCACACAUACACACAAACAGAAAAAAAGAGUUGAUAUUGCAAGUUGAUGAGUAUAUUGUUAGAACUAUGAAAUAACUCACCUGUAGGAUUAAUGUUAAAAUUCUUUGCCCCUCAGUUUAGCCUGUUUAACCCAAGAUACAUAUUUGUAUGAAACUAUAAUAAACAAUUCUAAAACAUGGAUAAAUAAAACAGAAAAGCAAUAUGGUAAAUAAGAAAUGUUAUUUUUGUCAUCUCGUGGCACUUAAGGAAAAGCAAGUUUCACUAAUGGAAAAUGAAAAAAUGAAUUAUUUUUUAUUCUGUGAAAAUCUCAGGUCUAUCUCUAGAAGGUUUGGUAGGCUAAAUGGUGGCCCUAGUGUUUUCCACAUCCAAAUCCCUCAGAUCCGUGAACGUUAUAUGGCAAAAGGAACAGCACACAUAUGAUUAAAUUAAAGGUCUUGGGAUAAGAGAGUUAUCCUGGAUUAUCUGUUUGACCCAGUGUAAUCACAGGGUCCUUAUGAAAUCAAUAAUGUGAGACUAAAACAGAGGGCACAGUCAAAGUGAUGUCCUGGCUAGACCCAAGGAAUGUGGACAGCCUUUGGAAGCUGGAGGAGGCAAGGAAAUGGAUUAUUCUACUCUUCCAGUAGGAAAGAAGCCCUGCUGACCCAUUUUUAAAAAAUGUAUAUUUAGGGGCCAGUGCUGUGGCGCAGCGGGUUAAUGCCCUGACCUGCAGUGCUGGCAUCCCAUAUGGGCGCCAGUUCGAGACCCGACUGCUCCACUUCCAAUCCAGCUCUCUGCUAUGGCCUGGGAAAGUAGUAGAAGAUAGACAAGUCCUUGGGCACCUGCACCCUCUUGGGAGAUCCAGAGGAAGCUCUUGGCUCCUGGCUCCUGGCUUCCCAUCUGUGCAGCCAACUGGGGAGUGAACCAGUGAAUGGAAGACGAUCUCUCUCUCUCUCUCUCUCUCUCUCACUCUGCCUCUCCUUCUCUCUCUGUAUAACUCUGACUUUCAAAUAAAUCUUUAAAAAUGUAUAUUUAUUUAUUUCUUCUACUUAAAAGGCAGAGCAAGAGAGAAAUAGAGGAAGAAAGAUCUUUUAUCCAUUAGUUCACUUCCCAAAUGCCCAUAACAGCCAAGGUUAAGCCAGAAUGAAGCUAAGAACUAUGAGCUUCAUCUGAGUCUCCCAUAUGGAUAGCAAGGGCCCAAUCACUUGGGCCAUCAUCUGCCACCCAGAAUGCAUUAGCAGGAAACUGAAAUGUAAGCAGAGGAGCGAGGACUUGAACCAGGCAUAUGGGAUGCUGGCAUCCCAAGCAACAGAUUGACCCACUUCACUACAAUGCCUAUCUCCACUGACCUAUUUUAAACUUCUAGUCUCUAGACCUAUGAGAUAACAAAUCUGUGUUAUUUUAAGCCAUUACAUUUGUCAUAAUUUUUUAUAGCCUCAAUACAAAACACAAUGACUAAUUUUGCUUCUAAACUCAAUUUCUUCCUUAAAAAGUUUAUCCCAGUAAUUGUUUUUAUAUUAAUCCAUCAUAUUUAUGAAUGAUAUAACCCUGAUUAUGAAUGAUGUAGACAAUGCACCCAUUUAUGGUACACUCCACAGUAUACAAAGCAUUGUACUAAAGGAUUUGACUAUUUUUGAAAUACUUAAGACCUUUUCAGGUAGAUACCAUUUUCCACUUUUACAGAUUGGAAAAUAGGAUCUCUGUGGUUAAAUAAUUUACUUACGGUCAUACUGUAGUGGUAUAAAAUUCAUGUGCUAAAAUAGAAUAAACAAGUCAGGAGUCAAGUUAUUUUCCAUGACACGCUAGGGUAGUUGUUGCCAGAGAGUGAAGGUUUGAUUAAAUGUAUAGAAAUGUUGAUUUGGGUAAUUCCCUAUGUUGAUUGGUUCCAUAUAGCUUGACCAUAGUUCAGAUGGGAGUUUAGGAAAACAGUAGACAACAGUCAUUUCUAUAUUGUAUGUUUCAGAGUCAAAUGUUCUUAACAGUUGUUCUUAAAAGAAGAUUCCACUUUCUUAAAAUUCCUAAGAAAAAUAUUCUCUGCAUUAAAGGCUUGUUCAAGGACUGGCAUUGUGGCAUAACGGGUUAAACUGCCACGGGCAAUUUGGCAUCCCAUAUGGGUGCUGGUUCUAGUCCUGGCUGCUCUGCUUCCCUGCUAAUGCACCUGGGAAGGCAGCAGAGGAUGGUCCAAGGUCGUGGGCAUCUGCACACAUGUGGGAGACCUGGGGAAAGCACCUGGAUCCUGGAUUCAGCAUGUCCUUUGUGGACAUUUGGGGAAUGAACUAAUGGAUGGAAGAUUCUCUCUCUCUUUGCCUGAAAUAAAUCUUUUUAAAAACUUGUUUAUAAAAUUAACAUUGCUACAAGUAUUG